rnacentral:rRNA from 1 species
AUUGAACGCUGGCGGCAGGCCUAACACAUGCAAGUCGAGCGGAGCGGCGGACGGGUGAGUAAUGCCUAGGAAUCUGCCUGGUAGUGGGGGAUAACGUCCGGAAACGGGCGCUAAUACCGCAUACUAUCAGAUGAGCCUAGGUCGGAUUAGCUAGUUGGUGGGGUAAAGGCCUACCAAGGCGACGAUCCGUAACUGGUCUGAGAGGAUGAUCAGUCAAAAUGGAACUGAGACACGGGCGCGACUCCGACGGGAGUAAGCAGGGGGGAGUAUUGGACAAUGGUCGAAAGCCUGAUCCAGACAUUCGUCGGGUGUGAAGAAUGUCUUCGGAGUGUAAAGCACUUUAAGUUGGGAGGCGUUACCAACAGAAUAAGCACCGGCUAACUUCGUGCCAGCAGCCGCGGUAAUUC